rnacentral:rRNA from 1 species
GAUGAACGCUAGCGAUAGGCCUAACACAUGCAAGUCGAGGGGCAGCAUAGGGUAGCAAUACUCUGAUGGCGACCGGCGGAUGGGUGAGUAACACGUAUGCAACCUACCUACAACAUUGGGAUAACCCGUUGAAAGACGGACUAAUACCUUAUAACACAGGGGCACCGCAUGGUGAUAUUUGUUAAAGAUUUUAUCGGUUGUAGCUGGGCAUGCGCAUGAUUAGCUAGUUGGGGAGGUAACGGCUUCCCAAGGCAACGAUCAUUAGGGGUUCUGAGAGGAAGGUCCCCCAACUGGAACUGAGACACGGUCCAGACUCCUACGGGAGGCAGCAGUGAGGAAUAUUGGUCAAUGGGCGAUAGCCUGAACCAGCCACGUCGCGUGCAGGAAGACUGUCUUAUGGAUUGUAAACUGCUUUUUCGGUAGAGUAAAGUGCAUCACGUGUGAUGCAUUGCAAGUAUACCGGGAAUAAGGAUCGGCUAACUCCG